rnacentral:rRNA from 1 species
GACGAACGCUGGCGGCGUGCUUAACACAUGCAAGUCGAACGGUGAAGCGCCUUCCUUUUUGGUGGGUGUGGAUGAGUGGCGAACGGGUGAGUAACACGUUAGUAACCUGCCCCCUUCUGCUGGAUAACCGCAGGAAAGUGUGGCUAAUACGGGAUAUUCUGGGUCUGUCGCAUGAUGGGUCUGGGAAAGAUAUUGUUUCGGUGGGGGAUGGUCUCGCGGCCUAUCAGCUUGUUGGUGGGGUGAUGGCCUACCAAGGCGGUGACGGGUAGCCGGCCUGAGAGGGUGGGCGGUCCCAGUGGGGAGGAGCCGCGGACACGACUACGGGGGGAAGCAGCAGGGGGGAUUAGUGAACAAUGGGAGGAAGGAUGAUGCAGCGACGCCUCGUGGGGGAUGGAGGCCUGCGGGUUGUGAACCUCUUUCGCGAGUGAAGCAGGGCUGCCUCGUUUGUGGGUGGGUUGACGGUAGCUGGAUAAGAAGCGCCGGCUAACUACGUG